CUUGCAGCUAAUUUUCUGGGCCUUUGGAUUUUCUUUGCUUUCUGGUUUUGCUCUGAAUAUUCUCCAAGAAAGAAACAAAAUUGAUAAAGUGUAGUCUUGGAUGUUAACAUGUGACUUGUAUGUGGCCCUAAUUCAGGGUUCUUUUUCUCCUUGUUCUAGGUACUCCUGGAGUGGAGAACCACUUUUUUUGACCUGCCCUACAUCAGAAGUCACUGAGCUCCCAGCAUGCAGCCACUGUGGUGCCCGAAGGAUAUUUGAGUUUCAGCUUAUGCCAGCACUGGUCAGCAUGCUCAGAAGUGCUAAUUUAGAUCUUUCUGUGGAAUUCGGAACCAUUCUAAUUUACACAUGUGAGAAGAGUUGCUGGCCUCAAGAUGAUCAUGCUCCCAUGGAAGAAUUUUGUAUUAUCCAAGAGGACCCAGAUGAAUUAUUAUUUAAGUAGUGUAUUUCCUUUUAUUUAUAUAAAUUAAACUUUAAUGUUUAAAUUGUG